UUUACAAUGGAAGAUAAAACUGUGUGAAUGCUCAUAUCAAAGAACAACUGCAAGCAUGCUCUGUCUCGUUGGAAAUCCUCUGUUGCUGUGAAGAAUUUUUCAGCUCUACAACCUAAUUUUCUCUGCGCAAAACUUUGACACUUAAUUUAGCGAAGCAAUCUACAUGAAUAAUAAUUGUAAUUCAAAAUAACAUG